rnacentral:misc_RNA from 1 species
UUUUUUUCAAAAUGGCGUAAAUUGAUAAAACGCAAGAAUUCGGAAAAGACAAAAAAGUUGCAUCGAUUUACAUUCAAUCUUAGUUAUAGUUUUUAAUUGUGGCUUGAAUUCUGUUAGUAAAAAAAUUGUUUUGAAAUUUAAGAAUAGAGAAAUGCGAAUAAUAAGAGAAAUUUAAAUCAAGUAUAUUACACUUCGGGUAGCUGCGUAAGCACUAAAUGCUGUUAAAUGAUACGAUUAUUGGGAGAAAAGUUUGAGAUCUCUCAGUGGAUUAUGAAUCAAGCUUCCAACACAUCUGGAACGACUAAUACCACCAUCACAUUACUUGAUACCAGUAGUGCCUCAUUUUCAAUGGGCGGCCGUAGCUCGAUUCAUAGUAAGGGGAGUAUAGGUAGCAGUAAUCAAGCUGACCCAUCCAUCUCCUCUACGCCAACAACAACCCCCGCUCCCCAAAUGUCAAAUAAAGUAUUUAACUACAAAGAUAACACAGAUACUGAUUUCGGAAAUUCCUUAAAAUGUGAGGAUAUAUGUUUAAGUGUAUGUCGACAUCUAAAGAUUUUACCCCCGACUCGAUUAUUAUUUGGGCUACGUGUUAUGGACUCUGAAAGUGAAUGGGCUGCCCCGGGUAAAGAAUUGAAACCUGGGGUCCGAUACUGUUUCCGCAUGAGAAUUAAAGUCCCAAAUAUGGAUACACAAUUAAAAAACCUGGAUAAACAAGCGUAUGAAUAUUUGUAUUGGCAGAUUCGUUACGAUAUAUUAAACGAAAAAAUUCCGGAAAUAAGGAAUCCAGAAAAAAAAGAUAAUGUUAUGGGUUUUGCUGUCAUGCACAUGUGUAUCGAUUUACAAGCAAAAAGUUCUGAAGCCGAAAGAAAGGAAGGGUAUAAUCGUGAAAUAAUUGGGAAUAUAGAAAAUAAAUACAAAGAAUAUCUACCCCAAACGCUUUUAAGAGAGCACAGAUAUUUUGUAAAAUCCAAAAUAUGUGCAAAAUUCAAAGAUGUACGAGAAAAAGACAUUUUGUUCACAGAAUUUAAAUUCUACUAUAUCGCCGAUGUUUGUAAGCUGGCACCAAAUUAUUUAAUGGAAGUUUAUUUUGUCACAGUAGAUUAUAUCCCAAAUGUUGAUUUGAUUUCCGUACAUUCACCUGCAAUUUGUAAUGAUGGCAAUGUGGAUAACAAAACAAGAGUAUAUGUUAAACUAGACACCCAUGAUAACCCAGAACCAGGUCUGAAGAUUUCGCUGAAACAAGAAAAAUGGACGCUAUUAGCAAAGAUUGAGGAUAUUUUUGCGAUAUAUAUCGAGGAUAAUGUGUGUGCGUGUUUGGAGAUAACAGGGCUACCACAAAGUUAUUGCAUGAGAUUUAAAUCAAAAGUCGAGUUAGAAUCAUUUAUCACAUACAUAGGAGGGUACUUGAGGCUAACCUCUAAGUGGUUAAAGGAUUUGUGUAGCGAUUAUACAACACCAUCAUUGAAUGAAUUGAUCGACUUAAAAUGCCAUGGGCCAAUAGGUGGAGCAUUUUCCUUUGCUAAAUUGAGAGAGAAAUCAAAAAAAGGCUCAACCUGCCUUAUAAGGCAAUGUGAGAGAGAAUACGACGUGUAUUAUAUCGAUAUAAAUACCCAGACGUCAGCAAGAGGUAGGUUUGGCGAGAACAUAAUAACUACUAAAAUUACACUACAAAACAAAAAAUGGUUGUUACACGGAGGUGAGGGCCUGAAGGAAUUUGAAACUCUAAAAGAUUUGAAGAAUUCAAUAUCCCCACAAAUGCCUUGGAUUCCGCCAUCAGAAUAUGAUUAUGCACCACUUCUUUUAAUUUGUUUGCCAAAAAAUCUACAUCCAAAGAAGACUGACACUGAAUUAAGUGAAGCUGAACUUCGAAGAAGACGAGUUCAAAUACUUGAUCGGAAGCAUGACCUCCGAUGGUAUAAAAAUACGCAGUAUGUUUGUGAUGACGCUAAAAUGAUGAUAAUGCAAGGAGACUGGGUCCAGGAAGGUAGUUGUAAAGACGUUAAUGUUAUGCUCAAGGUGUUUUUUCCAGAAAUCAAUCUUAAGGAUAUCACAUGUUUAACUAGUAUUUGCAGUCAAAUUUUUUCGGCACAAUUUCUGAAACUCUAUGGUUUGACUUUGACCACUCCUUAUACUAUGGUAAUGGAAUAUGCACCUUAUGGAAAUUUAGAUAAGUUCCUACGCAAACAUAAAGAUAAAAUCUCUUUCCAAAUGCUGAUAUCGAUUGUGUUUGAUUUGGUCAGAGGAAUAGUUUACCUGAGUGAGAAAGGAAUUUAUCACGGCUCAAUACGAUGUUCCAACAUGUACGUAACAAAAUUUGAUCCUAGAUCUCAUAUCAUUGAGACAAAAAUUGGUGAUCCCGGACUUCGUCGUAGUUAUUCAAACGAAGACUUGCCGUGGAUACCACAGGAAUAUUACAAUAAUCUCAAAGGCGUCCAUGGUGAUAUGUACGUAGACGCAUGGGCUUUCGCAACGACUCUAUGGGAGAUAUUUUCUUAUGGAAAAUCUCCUCUGGAAGAACUGAAUUGUACGGGAAACCCAAAGAAGAUUGCCGAAAAACUACAAAUGAAUCGUUCAAAGAGAGAUGGUGGCAUAUUGCCAAAACCAACUGAAAAUCUGGACGAUUCGAUAUAUUGUAUCAUGCUCGAUGGUUGGCAGUCGGAUGCACACAAACGUUUUAAUUACAUCAAAAUCUUUGCAAUCAUUAAUGGUUUCAAAGAAAGGAGAACGGUUAAUUACGAGUCAGUUAACAUCGAUAAAUCAUAUUAUGAUAGCGACACUUGUUCUGAAAAUAAUGAAAAUAGCGGAGAUGAUAUUUCAUUGGACUCCUGUCCAGGACCAUCACCCGCACAAAACCAACGAUUUUCACAUUUUGAUAUGUCUUUUAAUAGCCCAUUCGAUGACACUACUUUUGUAAUACCGUUUUCGGAGGGAAAAGUAAUUGUUGAUAAACGAAUAGGUGACGGUCAUUAUGGUAUUGUGUAUUCAGGCAUAAUAUAUUACAAAAAACCCGAUAAAGCACCGGAGAAAGUGGCAGUUAAAACAUUGAAACCCGAGAUGGCGACGAAUAUAAAAGAUUUUCUACGCGAAAGUGAAAUAAUGCGGGGUCUAGAGCACGAAAAUAUUGUAAAAAUUAAAUAUUCAAUCGAAAAACCUAUCUGCAUCAUAAUGGAAUUUGUUUCCGGUGGUUCUUUUAACGUUUACCUCAGAUCUCAGCGGCCGAAUUUAACUAACAAAAGGCUUCUUCAUUUCGCCCAUGAUAUUGCUAAGGGUAUGAAUUAUUUGGCGGAAAAGAAAAUUAUCCAUAGAGAUUUGGCAACACGGAACAUAUUGAUCGAAAAGGACAGAGUGAAAAUAUCUGAUUUCGGUUUGGCGCAAUUAGCAAAUUCCGAGGGCUAUUAUUUUGUACAAAACCAAAGGGAUAUACCCAUAAAAUGGUAUUCACCAGAAUCGAUAGCGGAAGAUAAGUAUUCCGUAUACUCUGAUGUAUGGUCUUUUGGCGUGACUAUGUUUGAGACUUUUUCUCGAGGAGAUAUUCCAAAUCUCGCUGGCAAUCGGGAGCUGAGCCAAAUAGAGUUUCUAGAACGGCUUCAGAAGGGAGAAAGACUCCAAAAACCAGAGUUAUGUUCUCAAAUUAUUUACGACAAAUUAAUGCUACCGUGUUGGAAAAGGGAACCAAAAAGCCGACCAGAUUUUGCCAAAAUACUUGACAUUAUACAGUUAAUUGUGGAAGAAGAUGGUGAAACCAUAUGAAAUUCGCGAUUUUUGGAUAAUUUAUCUGAAUAUAUCAAUUCCCAAUAGAUGCUAUUCAGUGAAAUUGAGUUGUAAUUAAACGUUAUUGUAAGACUUUUCUACAUAUAAAUUUGACCUGUGAAAUCUCGAGACCCAAA